rnacentral:lncRNA from 1 species
UUAACAAAUUAAUUUUUCAGUCUUGAGAUGUGUUCAAACACUUGGAUUAAAGUGAGUUCAUUCCUAAUGGAUCUAUUAUCAUGUUGCAAAAACAAAAUCAUAUCGUCAGAAAAUUGUAAAUGUAAGACCUCCAUCCCAUCCUUUCCUACCACUAAUACUCUAACACUGUCUCUUUCCGUUGCUAUAAUCAACAUUCUACUUACUAUGUCCGUUACUAGGUGAAGGAAAGGGAUAGAGGGGAUCCCCUUAUUUUA